GGUUUACCCUGCAGUGGGUCUGCAAGAGCGGCCCGUUCUGAUACUUGGCGCCGGGCGCUGGGAAAGGAUUGUUCAGAGAGUGUUUACCUUCUGCACCCAAUGUUCCCAGGAAAGCCUUCCCCGCUGAGGUUAUUAUUGUAAAAAAAUCCAACGAGGAGGACGAAGGCUGCUUGGGAAACCGAGGGGUUUCGCUGACCUCCUGACAAAAUGACGGAAUAAAUCGCCUGUUGUUAGAGAGCUGUCUGUCUACCCAACCAGCUGAGCAGGGUGAGUUUGACACGCUUCCAGAGCACAGGAAUAACUCCUCAACUUGCUUGACCUUGCUGAUUGGUCCCUACAGGUGUCACACCUUGGUAGAGGCGUC
ensembl:lncRNA